rnacentral:tRNA from 1 species
UUAACUAAAACCAAAAAGAGGUGUACCACUGUUAAUGGUAUAAUUAAGGUUAACCUUUAGUUAAA